GACGAACGCUGGCGGCGUGCUUAACACAUGCAAGUCGAACGGAAAGGCCCGCUUGCGGGUACUCGAGUGGCGAACGGGUGAGUAACACGUGGGCAACCUGCCCUCAGCUUCGGGACAACUCCUGGAAACGGGUGCUAAUACCGGAUAUUGACUUCUGAUCGCAUGGUCGGGGGUUGAAAGUUUUUUCGGCUGGGGAUGGGCCCGCGGCCUAUCAGCUUGUUGGUGGGGUGAUGGCCUACCAAGGCGACGACGGGUAGCCGGCCUGAGAGGGCGACCGGCCACACUGGAACUGAGACACGGUCCAGACUCCUACGGGAGGCAGCAGUGGGGAAUAUUGCGCAAUGGGCGGAAGCCUGACGCAGCGACGCCGCGUGAGGGAUGAAGGUCUUCGGAUUGUAAACCUCUUUCAGUAGGGACGAAUUCAGACGGUACCUGCAGAAGAAGCACCGGCUAACUACGUGCCAGCCGCCGCCGUAAAAC
rnacentral:rRNA from 1 species